GACGAACGCUGGCGGCGUGCUUAACACAUGCCAGUCGAACGGAAAGGCCCUGCUUUUGUGGGGUGCUCGAGUGGCGAACGGGUGAGUAACACGUGAGUAACCUGCCCUUGACUUUGGGAUAACUUCAGGAAACUGGGGCUAAUACCGGAUAGGAGCUCCUGCUGCAUGGUGGGGGUUGGAAAGUUUCGGCGGGUGGGGAUGGACUCGCGGCUUAUCAGCUUGUUGGUGGGGUAGUGGCUUACCAAGGCUUUGACGGGUAGCCGGCCUGGGAGGGUGACCGGCCACAUUGGGACUGCGGUACGGCCCAGACUCCUACGGGGGGCAGCAGUGGGGAAUAUUGCACAAUGGGCGGAAGCCUGAUGCGGCAACGCCGCGUGCGGGAUGACGGCCUUCGGGUUGUAAACCGCUUUCGCCUGUGACGAAGCGUGAGUGACGGUAAUGGGUAAAGAAGCACCGGCUAACUACGUG
rnacentral:rRNA from 1 species